CGUGCUCAUCUGCCUAAUCCCGCAAGGGAGCCGGGGAACCACCACUCAGGGGUGAAUCGCGCGGCUGCCGCCGAGAAGACACGGCCGGCACACGCGCGUAGGAGACCUUCCUGCUCCGAACCCGUCAGCUAACCCGGCAGGCGAGAGGAAGGAAAGG
rnacentral:sRNA from 2 species